rnacentral:tRNA from 1 species
GGGGAUUUAGCUCAGUGGUAGAGCGCUUGCCUAGCAAGCACAAAGCCCUGGGUUCGGUUCCCAGCUCCG